GACGAACGCUGGCGGCGUGCUUAACACAUGCGAGUCGAACGGAAAGGCCCCUUUGGGGGUACUCGAGUGGCGAACGGGUGAGUAACACGUGAGUAACCUGCCCUUGACUUCGGGAUAACUUCAGGAAACGGGGGCUAAUACCGGAUAGGAAUCCUUGCUGCAUGGGGGGGGUUGGAAAGCUUCGGCGGUUUUGGAUGGACUCGCGGCUUAUCAGCUUGUUGGUGGGGUAGUGGCUUACCAAGGCUUUGACGGGUAGCCGGACUGAGAGGGCGACCGGCCACAUUGGGACUGAGAUACGGCCCAGACUCCUACGGGAGGCAGCAGUGGGGAAGAUUGCACGAUGGGCGGAAGCCUGAUGCAGCAACGCCGCGGGCGGGAUGACGGCCUUCGGGUUGUAAACCGCUUUCAGCAGGGGCGAAGCUUGUGGUGACGGUACCUGCAGAAGAAGCACCGGCUAACUACGUG
rnacentral:rRNA from 1 species